GACGAACGCUGGCGGCGUGCCUAAUACAUGCAAGUUGAGCGAUGAAGAUUGAUGCUUGCACCAAUUUGCAGAGCAGCGAACGGGUGAGUAACGCGUGGGGAAUCUGCCUUUGAGCGGGGGACAACAUUUGGAAACGAAUGCUAAUACCGCAUAACAACUUUAAACAUAAGUUUUAAGUUUGAAAGAUGCAAUUGCAUCACUCAAAGAUGAUCCCGCGUUGUAUUAGCUAGUUGGUGAGGUAAAGGCUCACCAAGGCGAUGAUACAUAGCCGACCUGAGAGGGUGAUCGGCCACAUUGGGACUGAGACACGGCCCAAACUCCUACGGGAGGCAGCAGUAGGGAAUCUUCGGCAAUGGACGAAAGUCUGACCGAGCAACGCCGCGUGAGUGAAGAAGGUUUUCGGAUCGUAAAACUCUGUUGGUAGAGAAGAACGUUGGUGAGAGUGGAAAGCUCAUCAAGUGACGGUAACUACCCAGAAAGGGACGGCUAACUACGUG
rnacentral:rRNA from 1 species